CUGCGCCCUGGGCGAGUGUUGCGGCCCCAAGCGGGUCGAAGGAGGUAAUUUCGCGGGUGGGGGAGGGUGGAGGAGACCUUGAUUUCCACCAAUCCCGGGGCGCGUGUCUGCGGAGUCCAGGGCGCAGCGGAAGGCUGCGGCGCGCCGCUGAAUGAACUGAUGAGAGCGAGUUCUCAGCUUGCCUGGGAGGGGAGCGGAGCGAGGGUCCCGGCAGGCACGGCAGAGGCGCCGGGGGCGGGCUAGCGGUCCCGGGCCGCCGUGGAAAUUUCCAAGGACUUGGCGCGGCGGGGAGAGCACGUCUUGUGGGGUGCCCGGCACCGCGGCGGCGCAGGAGGCGGGGGAAAGGGCGGUGCAGGGCGCAGGAGCAUCUUUAUCUGGAAGGGACACAGCGGGUCAGAUGUCCGGGAUCCAGCCGCACCUCUUCCACAACCCCAGCCGAGGUCAGCUGUGAUGCUGUAGUAAGGGCAGCAGCAGCUGGCCCCGCUGCUCUCGCCUAGACCCCUCGUCGCCUACCUCUGCAGGGAAAGGGACCAUGGCUCGUGACUUGCCCGGAGGCCACUUCCUCUAGCAAGAUAUCCGUGGGAAAAGUUGCAUUGGCGAAGAUCCUUGUAGCUGACCUCUGGGGCCGUAGUGGGGGUCCCCCAGCUGUGCGUGUGCAUGCAAGAAAGCCAAAGGUGUGUGUGCAUGGGGGGCUGGCCGUGGAGUCACCCUCUCCUGCCACUUCGUCUGGCAUUGUGCUGAGGCUCCCACGACAGACCCUGGAUGCCGAGGCUGUGAUGAGCCCCUGCGGGCGGGCCCGGCGACACACGUCCAGAGGGGCCAUGGCCAUGCUGGCAUGGAAGUUCCCGCGUACUAGGCUACCGGUGGGAGCCAGUGCCCUCUGUGUAGUGGUCCUCUGUUGGCUCUACAUCUUCCCUGUCUACCGGCUACCCAACGAGAAGGAGAUCGUGCAAGGGGUGCUGGCACAGCGCAUGGCUUGGAGGAGGAACCAGACCGCUGCCAGGCUCUUCAGGAAACAAAUGGAAGACUGUUGCGAUCCCACCCAUCUCUUUGCUAUGACUAAGAUGAAUUCUCCCAUGGGGAAGAGCCUGUGGUAUGAUGGGGAGUUUUUGUACUCAUUCACCAUUGACAAUUCCACAUAUUCCCUCUUCCCCCAGGCAACCCCCUUCCAGCUGCCAUUGAAGAAAUGUGCGGUGGUGGGAAACGGUGGGAUUCUGAAGAUGAGUGGCUGUGGCCGUCAAAUAGAUGAAGCAAAUUUUGUCAUGCGAUGUAAUCUCCCUCCUUUGUCAAGUGACUACACCAGGGAUGUUGGAUCCAAAACUCAGUUGGUGACAGCUAAUCCCAGCAUAAUUCGACAGAGGUUUCAAAACCUGUUGUGGUCCAGAAAGACGUUUGUGGACAACAUGAAGAUCUAUAACCACAGCUUUAUUUACAUGCCUGCCUUCUCUAUGAAGACAGGAACAGAGCCCUCUCUUCGUGUGUAUUACACACUGAAAGAUGUUGGUGCCAAUCAAACAGUGCUUUUUGCUAACCCUAACUUUCUGCGGAACAUUGGAAAGUUCUGGAAGAGUAGGGGGAUCCAUGCCAAGCGCCUGUCUACAGGACUCUUUCUGGUGAGCGCAGCCUUGGGCCUUUGUGAGGAGGUGGCCAUCUAUGGCUUCUGGCCCUUCUCUGUGAAUAUGCAGGAGGAGCCCAUUAGUCACCACUACUACGACAAUGUUUUGCCCUACUCAGGCUUCCAUGCCAUGCCUGAGGAAUUUCUCCAACUCUGGUACCUUCAUAAAAUUGGUGCAUUGAGGAUGCAGCUAGACCCAUGUGAGGAACCAUCGCUUCAGCCCACUUCCUAGGGAUCAUAAAAUAAGAAAGGACUGGGCAGGGUAUUUUUGCUAGGUUUUCUAUGUGACUUCUAAAAGGAAUGGCCAAGUAUGUCAUGGAUUGGCACGAUAGGAAACAAACAAAAACUCAAGCAAAACUUUGCUUUUGAUGUUGGCUUGGAGAACAAUAAGAAGUAAAAUGUUCUGGGGGAACAUUUUAUAUUGUGCUGUGGAUCUGCAACAGGGACAACACCAAGGAGACAAUGCUGGCAGAUCACGUGUCUGUGGUUCAAAUCUAGAAGAUGCAAUUCAAGGACCAGAUGAACUCUAAUUGCUGAGGCUGAGGGGCUCAUCAUGGCAGCAUGUGGGAGAUGCUGGGGUAUUGCUGACUGUCAAUAUACACUGGCAUCAUUGUCAUUUUAAAAGACCUGUCUUAUUGAGACUGGCAUUAGAACUGUAGGUUUUUAAAAAGUAUUAUUUAUUUUUGCCCUGUUUAGGGCUAUGGGUGGGUGAUGGGGUAGACUUACAAAAUCCUUCCUGCCGAUUUUUGUGGUUCAUUAAAAUAAGUCUAUGUUGACUAUAGUCCCCUUCGCUAGUACAAUUUUAAAUAAGAAUUGCUUCUUGCCUCUUCGGUUAAGUCUAUCUACUUAGCAUGAAGCUCUGUUGAAGUUAGACUGUGUUGAUUCAUAGUCUAGAUAACAUGAGACACUUCCUUUCCUCAGAAGUUGAGAGAGAAACUCAAUUUUAGGUCCCCAUUACAUCAACCCAUUGGCUGUGUUGCUAUUAUUUUCACAAAAUGACUACACAUGCAAGUACAGUCUUUACUUGUACAGUGGCAAGAGCCACUUCCUUUACUGAGAGGUGAAGUAGGUCACAGCGAGUAAGAACUUUGUCUCUGAGGCAGACAGACCAGAAGGCAGGGGGCCCUUUCCUCUUUAACAUGAAUAUUUCCCUUCAAGAUAACUCCUGUGUGUGCACAUAUGAAUGUUUUCUUUCAAGAUAAUGUGUGUGUAUGUGCACAUGACUAUAGACACAUACGCUCUGACACACUCUAUGAAGUAAUCAAAGAUUAUUCUCGUGUGACUGUGAAAACUGUGUGCAUGGCCUGGUAUUGGAGAGCUGAAAGAAAGGACAGAAUCCAUCCCAUAUUGACGUAAGUGGAGCUGGCACAGCAGUUGCUGUCAGUUUGCAUGCCAGCACAGGGUGCACGCUUUACCCUCAAAUACGUAAUCCAGAGUGAAAUCUACUCUCUUACUCAUCCUGCCCCUCCCCCCCAAAUCUCAUGAAUGGGCCUUGAGCAUAGUGACAUGUGACAUAGCUCACGCAAGUGAGCAGGUAGGAGCCGCUUGCUGUGGAUUUCCUUAGUGUGCAGUGGGGCUGCUUGGGCAGCUUGGCACAGAAGCUUUAACACAACACAACAGGGGUACUCUGCUUGCAGAUUACAGCCAAGUGUAUUUACUGUAGGUAAGGGACAAGCAGGGACUUCUUUCAUAGUGUUUGUGCUUUGAGGCAUGUUAGGCUCCAAGGAGAUGUGAAGACUCACGUUUAUUCUUUCAAGUGCUGCCGUGAUGUAGGUAAAAUCGACCCACAAGCUCUACUGCACCGUGCAGGUAGAAACUUAGUAUAUUGAGCAUGUCUAUGAAAACAGGGGACUUUAAAAAGAAGGCUAACUUACAAGAUAUCAGAGUUAUCGAAGAGUUGUACAUCUAGGGGUAGGGAGUUUCCAAAUGUGAUUAAAUAUCCAGGUUAUUGUAGAAAUUAGCAUUUGGACUGAGACUAGGUGCCAGGACAGUGCACAGGUUGUGGUGCUGUUUAGGGAAUGAGGAGUUUGGGAAGCUCACCACUGUGCAGGGCUGGCUUAGGGUUUCUGUCUUGUGCGGCAGCAUCAGUAUAUCAGGAAGGCAGUGUGAGUUGUAUUAGUCAUGUCUGUCCAACUCUGAAUAUAAUCCUUGUUUUGAGUGACUAGAAUUUAGUAACUACCUAAGAAAGAAUAUAUUUUUACCAAUAGAUUCAUUAAAAGUGUAAAAGGUCUAGGAAAACAACAAAUACCAAGAUUAAUUAAGUGUGCAUUCAGAUGAAUGCAUUAAUUGGUCAAAAUCUAAAGAAGCAGCUCAUAAAAUCCGCACAUCACGGUUCACUGAGAAUGCUGUCUGGGAGUCUGAACUCUCACUACAGUUCCUGGAACAGGUCCAUGUAAUAGAUUUGUGUGUUUAGUCUAUGAAAUUGUAAAGCUAUUCUGCACAGCGUCUGCAUUGCAGAAUGGAGAUGGUCAACACUGUCAGCUGACCUGUGCUUUCACCUGCGCCGACUUCCCUUCCCUCUCAGGUGCCAUGAGCCAACACCUGAGGACAUUUUUUGUUGUUAGGACCAGGAAUGCUAGCUCUUUGUGGUAGGGAACAGCCAUGGAGAGUGGUCCAAUAGCAAUAGGUCAGCCACUUACCACAGAGCAUGACCCAGAGAAAUGUUAGUAGUGUGAAAACUGAGAAACCCCAAGGUAAACCAAAAGAAAAGCUUGACUGCUCAUACUAUUUGCCUUUUAGGACAUAGGCACAGUGUUCAUGUUGCAAACAGCAUUGCUGCAACCUUUAUUAUUUUAUAGUGACAAUUCAUAGGUGUAUUAUAUAUAUAACUUUUUGUGUGUUUGGUUAGAUGAUGUAGCUAAGCAAGAAAGAGAGAGAGAGAUUGCUUCAUAGGGGGACAGGAGAGGAUGCAGAGACUGCAAAGGAGCACCCACAUAGGGACUUCCAUUCUAGUCAACUGCAGCUUGCAAAUUGCUUUGGUUUUCAAGCUCCUGAGUGAGGAUGGCUGCUAUUUGAUUUCAAUCACACUUCACUAAAAAUUACACCAGGUGGAAAGUGAGUCAUCCCACCAGAAAUAAAGCUUGUACGUGAAAGAUCUUUUCACAGACUGACUGUGGACUCAUAUACUCACUAUAAAUUGCUUUACAAAAGUGCAUAGCAGUCAUGUGCCUGAACUAGCUUGUUUACUUUUAUGACUUUGUCAAGGGGGGGGAGUAGAUGGAGGGACUUCUCAGCCCUUAAGAGUGCUGACUGCUCUUGCAGAGGACCUGAGUUCAGUUCCUGACACAUGCAGCUGUGCAGCUGCCUAUCACUCCAGUUCCAAGGGAUCUGGUGUUCUCUUCUGGCCUCCAUGGACACUGCAUGCAAGCAAGAACAUAUACAUACAUAUAAUAAGUAAAUGCAUCUUAAUAAAGGUAGAAAAUUAAUUCUGUAAAGUGGCAGAUGGUCAGGUAGGACCCUUUCCGCUUCUUGGCUGGGAAGCCAGUCAUCUAUAGUUUUAAUUUCUAUGCUUGAAAAAUAUCAACUUUAUGGAAGUUUUUGCUGGCAAAUCCUCAUCAGGAGGGAUCUAAUGAGAACAUCAGUCACUAGUGCACUGAGGGUCUUCACCUUAGGAGCUGCAGUGCCUAAGCUUGCACUUGCUAAUCAAGGCGCUCCCAUAGCCGAGCCUGGUCACCUUGACCCAGUUGCAGCCCUGCAUAUGAUCAUGAGGAGUAGAGCUCUAUUCUCUGUGUACACAGAUGAACUUGCUGAAACCCCAAAGCUAGGGAGAGAGCAAAUACCCCAUAGUUCCUGUGCUGUGUCUCUGAAAUCAUGGACUUCUGAAGCCCAGAGUCCACAUUUAGUCUUUAAAUGUGAGGUCCUAUACAGUCCAUGUUUUAUAAGUGGGAGAGUCUUAAAUUUGUAGACAUCACACACACACACACACACACACACACACACACACACACACACACACACACACACACACACACACACACACGAAUAUGAAUAGUAUCUGCCUUAUUCUCAGCCUUAAUGUUGACAUUUUCACAUACAUCCCAGAGAUGAAUGAUUGAUGUUUGCGUAUGAAUGGAAAGGUCAUUCAUACUAUUCACACUAUCUAACCUUUCUCAUUGAAUGAGGAAGACACCUGCUUCUGCUUCCUUGUUUGGGUUUUCUCUCUGUUGCUGAUUUUUGUAGUUUCUUCUUUUAACACAUAGAAACAAACAUAUUGAAAUGAAUUAUAAUAUUGUGAUCACUUGAGCCAAAGGCUUUGACUAUCACUUGUUAGGGCACAAAAGAGGAAUUAUAUUUUGUGGUUACUCAUUUGCCUAUGACUCUCAGUCUCAGUGCUGUGUUAAAAACCUUCUUGGUUUUGCUUUUCAAUUGAAGCUUUGGGAUUCAAUCAACGACACAAAGUUGUCCAAGGAUUUUAUGGUGUAAUACCCGAAUAUAGUGAUCAUAUUUUUUCUAACUUCUGUGUCAGUAGACUCCUCCAGGUAACUGUCACUUGCAAAUGUAUGCUUCAUGCAAUGACAAUAAACACCAAGACAUGUGUGUCACUUAGUUCAAAACAGAGAAAACUGGAUUCAUGGAAUUCUGCAUUUCUCUGUAUAGUAACAGAAAGGAAAAAUGCAAUAGAGAAAAGAUGUAACCAAAAGAGAACUAAGAGAAAAUAUUGAUUUUUUUUUUCUCCACUGCAAAGGACUUAUGGAGGGGUCUCAGCCUCAGAAGGAAUCUCAGCAGACAGGAAGGAAGGGAUUGCUGUCUUAGAAUGCAUUUGCAAGAAUGGCAUGGUUUCAAGGUAACUGAAAGGAAGUGUAUUGCCAUGCCAUCAUUAGGGUUAGGAUGAAAAGAUGCUAGAUGGACCUUGGGUAUGGAUUGCGAGGCUGUUGCAAGGAAGUCUCGAAGCGGGUACCUCUUUUCUCAUGUGGAUCUUGGAGGUCUUGGAGGCCUCAGGUUCCUGCGCUUCCCACUAGGCGGCACCGUCCUGGGUGCCUGCGUUCAGAGAAGCAAACACCUCCAUGUCCCUCUGUUACCUGCCUUUUUGUUCGUACUCUCAAAGUGAGUUAUAAUUUAGCUCUCCUGUCAAGAUGAUACAGUGAUGGUGGUAAUUAUCACCCUGAUGUUGACUGGUAGAUGUGGUCAUUAUACACUGCACAUAGCAAGAGUUACUGUGAGCUUCCUGUCCCCACAAUGAUUCCCAAGAGAGGCGAUGGCAACUUAGAUUCAUUAUCCUUCAUGUUUCAGUUCAAUCUUUCUUCCUCCCUCCCUGUCUCCCUCCUCCCUUAUAUUAUUUAUGUCCACAGAAAAUAGAAAAUAACUGAUUUGGUAAUGUUGGGGAGUGGCAGAGGGUGCCUUAACUUUUCCUGGCUCGGCUCCCCACUUACAUAUUCCCUUCAUGUGUUUGUUGUUUUGCAGAUAUUUCCAUGUCUGUCCAACUUGUACCUUUAUCAUCAGCAAGACCCUUUUAAAUGUAGCAAAUGGGACUAUUUUAUAGAAAUUCAUGAUAGUAUAUAGGCCUUGGAGAAGUCUGAUAAUGGUGUGUAAAUAUCCUUUGCUCAGUUGUGGAACAUUUAUCUAAGGUCUUUUAGGUGAUAGCUACAGGAAGAUUCCUAGAGUUAAGGAUGUUUUUCCAGAAAAUUCCAGUAUUCACAGAAGCAAGAAACCAACCUAUUGCGGUUUUCCAUUCUGUCAUCAGCACUGACAGGCUUCUCUCUCCACAGUUAGGGUGACUGAUGGCUACCGUGGUGCACCAUAGAGACUACAUACAAGAAAGGGAGAGAAAAGACAUACAACACACGACUCUAAAGCCUGCUUCAUCUUUACAAAACUCAAUAAUAUCACUAGACUAAUAGUUACCAUGCAGGAUACUUUGAUCUGCAAAAUAUUGGGGGACUAUUUUUGCCUUUAGCCUCUAUCAUUGCUUAUUCCAGACGAUUCCACAGGUGUGCAAGCUGUUCUAUCAGUGCAUAUUUUCAGAGGUUGGGAAAGAGUAAAAAUAGGAAAAUUUAAAUAUUCUUUCUCAUGUAGUGUCUACUGGUCCAUGGAUAUAAUAUUCUAUAAAGCUUUUAGGUCAGAUUAUAAAAUUGAAGUCAACCUUUGAAGUGUUUGUAGAGUGGCUUCCUCCUAUUAAAGCCAAAUUUGACUGACAGGAAGUGUGGGGUAACCCAAUGCUCUUCAUUUCUUUUCUUUUUAAUAAUUUUAUAUAAAAUGUAGCAGGUAAGGAAAUAGGUUUAAUUGGUACUUUUUAUGGUGUGACUUGAAAAAAUGGUGCCUAUCUGUUGGCUGAGAUGAACAGUGAUGUGCCCAGAGGGUCACUGGAAAAACUGUCUUUUCUUUGCGGUGAUCAUGAACCGCGGCUAGCAGUGAGAAGAUUAACUGGUCUCAGUUUCUCUACCUCCCUUCCUUGGAGAAUAUUUGGAAAUGUACCCUGUGAAUAAAAUGGGAUUCUUUUCAA